rnacentral:rRNA from 1 species
CCUACGGGUGGCAGCAGUGGGGAAUAUUGGUCAAUGGAGGAAACUCUGAACCAACAACGCCGCGUGAAUGAUGAAGGUCUUCGGAUUGUAAAGUUCUUUUCUAAGGGAAGAAGAAAGUGACGGUACCUUAGGAAUAAGCCUCGGCUAACUACGUGCCAGCAGCCGCGGUAAUACGUAGGAGGCGAGCGUUAUCCGGAAUGACUGGGCGUAAAGGGUGCGUAGGUGGUUUGACAAGUUGGUAGCGUAACUCCGAGGCUCAACCUCGGCACUACUACCAAAACUGUCGGACUUGAGUGCAGGAGGGGCAAUUGGAAUUCCUAGUGUAGCGGUGGAAUGCGCAGAUAUUAGGAGGAACACCGAUUGCGAAGGCAGCUUACCAAGCUACUUCUGACGUUGAGGCACGAAAGCGUGGGGAGCAAACAGGAUUAGAUACCCCUGUAGUC